rnacentral:rRNA from 1 species
AAAGUCCCGCAAGGGAUAAGUAGAGUGGCAAACGGGUGAGUAACACGUGGGUGACCUGCCUUCGAGUGGGGGAUAACGUCCCGAAAGGGACGCUAAUACCGCAUCACAUCCUGCCUUUGAAGAGGUGGAGAUCAAAGCUGGGGAUCGCAAGACCUAGCGCUUGAAGAGGGGCCCGCGCCUGAUUAGCUAGUUGGUGAGGUAACGGCUCACCAAGGCGACGAUCAGUAUCCGGCCUGAGAGGGCGGACGGACACACUGGGACUGAGACACGGCCCAGACUCCUACGGGAGGCAGCAGUGGGGAAUUGUUCGCAAUGGGCGCAAGCCUGACGACGCAACGCCGCGUGGAGGAUGAAGACCUUCGGGUCGUAAACUCCUUUCGAUCGAGACGAAUGGCCUCCGGGUGAACAAUCCGGAGGAGUGACGGUACCGAGAGAAGAAGCCCCGGCUAACUCCGUGCCAGCAGCCGCGGUAAUACGGGGGGGGCAAGCGUUGUUCGGAAUUACUGGGCGUAAAGGGCUCGUAGGCGGCCAACUAAGUCAGACGUGAAAUCCCUCGGCUUAACCGGGGAACUGCGUCUGAUACUGGAUGGCUUGAGAUUGGGAGAGGAUGCGGAAUUCCAGGUGUAGCGGUGAAAUGCGUAGAUAUCUGGAGGAACACCGGUGGCGAAGGCGGCAUCCUGGACCAACACUGACGCUGAGGAGCGAAAGCCAGGGGAGCAAACGGGAUUAGAUACCCCGGUAGUCCUGGCCCUAAACGAUGAAUGCUUGGUGUGGCGGGUAUCGAUCCCUGCCGUGCCGAAGCUAACGCAUUAAGCAUUCCGCCUGGGGAGUAC